rnacentral:rRNA from 1 species
UUUUACAUGAGAGUUUGAUCCUGGCUCAGGACGAACGCUGGCGGCGUGCCUAAUACAUGCAAGUCGAACGGUCUUUUCUAUGGAAGCUUGCUUCCAC